UACGAAGGGGGCGAGCGUUGUUCGGAAUUACUGGGCGUAAAGGGCGCGCAGGCGGCCCUUGAAGUCAGGCGUGAAAGCCCCGGGCUCAACCUGGGAGGUGCGCUUGAUACUCGAGGGCUUGAGUGCGGGAGAGGAGAGUGGAAUUCCCAGUGUAGAGGUGAAAUUCGUAGAUAUUGGGAAGAACACCGGUGGCGAAGGCGGCUCUCUGGACCGUAACUGACGCUGAGGCGCGAAAAGCGUGGGGGAGCAAACAGG
rnacentral:rRNA from 1 species